rnacentral:rRNA from 1 species
AUGACCCGGCCCUCCAACGGCGGGUUCGACUACCAGCUGGUGAUCACCGUGUCGGAUGGCCCGGCGCCCAGGAACAACCGCCCGUACAACGCGUCGGUCUGGGGCAUACUCGGCACCAUGAGCUGGAAGCUCUGGUCCUUCACCCUUAUGGUGUGA